CGUCGUUUGUUAUUCUUCUUCGCGGUGUAGCGUACAACCUCCACAAGAAGAAGAAAAGCUAGGCGCCUUUCUUCAGUAGCUUAGAAGUUCGAACUGUGGAAUUAGCCCAUCACUUCAACGGGGAGGUUCAGGAGAUUGAGGAUGUUAAUUUCAAUGAGUCUGAGCUAAUUUAUCAUGUCAGGAAUGCUCUUAUUUCGGUCCAAUCGGUUUAUUUGGUCAAAUUGGGCUUAUUUGGACUGCAAUGAAAAGUUGAGGGGUUUAUCUGAAAUUAUUUUCAAUAAAAUUGUGUGAGGCAGGCUUCGUCAGAAGCCUAUUCUAUAUAUAUUGGAGAUGGAGCUGACAUUCCUUCCUGAUUAUGCUGAUACAUGUUCAAGACCACCAUACACUGCUUUUGUAAAAUCAUCCCAAGAAUUAAUUCAUUACAGGGAAUUUAAUUGUUGGCAGAUUUUAUAUCUGUUUGGAAGGUAUUAAACUGCCUGUUUGGGAAGAAAGUUAGAUUGUCAUGAUACCCAUCAGAUUUCUCACUUCCAAUAGUCCUCCAAUUGAGUCAAACUGCAAUGAAAAGGAAUUUACUGAUUUGCGCUUUA